AGCCACGCCCCCACACCUGGGAUUCCAGGGCCUGCUCUUCUCUGCUGGACUCCCAGACUGCAACCCAGACUGCACUGUUAGAAACCAGAGAACUGCAUGAUCAUGAGGAUGAGUGGGUGCCUGUGGGUCUUCAAGACAUGGCAUCCACCUGCCGUGGACCAGUCCAGUCUGCAGGCGUGGACUCUGACAGCUGGCUCCACCCAGUAUUCAGGUCUCAACCUGCACCCUCACUGCCCAGAACCCAGCCCUUUUUUUCUGGGACCUGCCACACUGCCAGAUCUUGUCAUUCCCCUUCCCCAGAGAUGACUACACUGUCUUCCCAGUCCACUGGCUGGGGACCUGUGCUAUGUGGCUGCCUCUCCUGCAUCACAACCAUCUGCCUCCAUCUAGAGCAUCUGACCAGGAUGUACAGCCCACACACCGUUAAGCCUCACACUAAGCUCACUCAAAUUACGAUGUGCAUGGUAAAACCUACCCAAGGUACUUCUGAUUGUCAAGAAAUAAGAAAUAAAAUAAGACGGGCCACAGAAAAGUGGUUAUAAA
ensembl:lncRNA novel transcript